rnacentral:rRNA from 1 species
GAUGAACGCUAGCGGAAGGCUUAAUACAUGCAAGUCGAGCGGUAGUCCCUUUCGGGGGAUGAGAGCGGCGCACGGGUGAGUAACGCGUACAUGACCUGCCUAUCAGAAGGGGAUAGCCCUGGGAAACUGGGAUUAAUACCCCAUGGCAUUGUAUUUUUAAAUGGAUACAGUUAAAGCUGAGGCGCUGAUAGAUGGAUGUGCGUCUGAUUAGCUAGUUGGUGGGGUAAAGGCCCACCAAGGCGACGAUCAGUAGGGGGCGUGAGAGCGUGGUCCCCCACACGGGUACUGAGACACGGACCCGACUCCUACGGGAGGCAGCAGUAAGGAAUAUUGGUCAAUGCCCGCAAGGGUGGACCGGCCAUUCCGCGUGGAGGAUGAAGGCCCUAUGGGUUGUAAACUUCUUUUAGAUGGGAAGAAAAUGCUUUGUUUACAAGGUACUGACGGUACCAUCAGAAUAAGCACCGGCUAACUCCGUGCCAGCAGCCGCAGUAA